rnacentral:lncRNA from 1 species
GAUCAAACCUGCACCACAGCUGUAAUCAGAGCCACAGCAGUGAGAGCACUGGAUCCUUAAACCACUGAGCCGUGGAGGAACUCCCAGAUAUUUUAUACUCUGUUGUUUUUGUGGGGAAAAACGGGAGUUCCCGUUGUGGCGCAGUGGUUAACGAAUCCGACUAGGAACCAUGAGGUUGCGGGUUCGGUCCCUGCCCUUGCUCAGUGGGUUAACGAUCCGGCGUUGCCGUGAGCUGUGGUGUAGGCUGCAGACGCGGCUCGGAUCCUGCGUUGCUGUGGCUCUGGCGUAGGCCGGUGGGUACAGCUCCUAUUCGACCCCUAGCCUGGGAACCUCCAUAUGCCGCGGGAGCGGCCCAAAGAAAUAGCAAAGAGACAAAAAACAAACAAACAAACAAACAAAACAACAACAACAACAAAAAAAAACCGGAAAGGCCUUGAGAUGUGCUAAAAAGCUGACUGGUGUCUUGGCUGAAAAAUUUGCGGUGUCUGGCGCCCUUUCUUGAGUUUCCCAGUUCCAUGGGGUCUCUGAAUCUGUGACCUCUUUACACCUCUGCAAACGGCAGAUAACAAAACAGUGCAGACCGUUGUCCAUAGACAUGCAAGGGAAGGUUGUCUGGUGGAUGUGCUAUUUCCUUCUCCCACUGCGCAAGAACCAGUUUUCUGUAUAUGAAGGAAAUUCAUUUUAGCCUCCCUAAUGGCCUACCUGUGUGUCUGCCCUGGGGCUUUUUCUUUACUUUUUUUUUUUUUUUUUUUUGUCUUUCUAGGGCCAGACCCAUGGCAUGUGGAGGUUCCCAGGCGAGGGGUCGAAUUGGAGCUGUAGCCGCCAGCUUACUCCGGAGCUACAGCAACGCCAGAUCCGAGCCGCAUCUGCCACUUACACCACAGCUCACGGCCACGCCGGAUCCUUAAACCACUGGGCGAGGCCAGGGAUGGAACCUGUGUCUUCAUGGAUGCUAGUCCGAUUUGUUGCCACUAAGCCAUGACAGGAACUCCGGCUUUUUCCUUUUGAACUGGUCGUACAAUCACGGAAUUCUUUGAUGAGUGAAACAGAACAUUUGACUUGUGUCCAUUUUACCCUUGGAUGAGAGUGGAGCCCUUACCUUUCACAACGUGGUAACGAGGUUCUCCACGCAACGUGAAUUUGUGGGAGAUUUUUCGUGUCCUCUUUUCAGUAUUUUCUUCCCUAAUAGAUAGAUACUGCUCUCUUUUGGUGUCUAUAAUCAGAUUAAAAUGCUGACUCUUAGGAACGGAGUGGGAGGUUGGGGUCAGGCGGUGUAAGCUGUUGUGCACGGAGCAGGUAAACGAUACAUUCCGACUCUACCGCACAGGGAACUGUGUUCAAUGUCCUAUGAUAAAUAUAAUGCGAAAGAAUAUUUUAAAAGAGCGUGCGUGCGUGUGUGUGUGUGUGUACAUAACUGAAUCACUUUGCUGUACAGCAGAAAUUAACACAACAUUGUAAAUCAACUAUACUUCAAAUUUUAAAAAAUGCUUAUUCAUAUGUGCUUCUCCCCCCCGUCCCCCAUCAAUUUGGAAAAGAUAAAAUAGGAGUUCCCGUCUUGGUGCAGCAGAAAUGAAUCCGACUGGGAACUGUGAGAUUGCAGGUUCGAUCCCUGGCCUCGUUCAGUGGGUGAAGGAUCCGGCGUAGCAGUGAGCUGUGGUGUCAUGAGCUGUGGUGUAGUUCGCAGACGCGGCUCGGAUCCUGCGUUGCUGUGGCUGUGGCAUUGGCUGGCGUCUGUAGCUCCGAUUAGACCCCUAGCCUGGGAACCUCCAUAUGCUGUGGGUGCAGCCCUAAAAAAAACCAGGAAAGGUAAAAUAAGUGCUUGCUGGGAAAACUCAUUCAUGUCCCCAUCUUGGAUGUUGAUAGUGAUGAAAGCUGGCGUGUGCCGCACAAGUUCUCUGUGCCUGGCCCCAUGAUUCACAUGCAUCAUCUCCAGCAUCCUCCCAACACCCCAUUUUGCAGACAGAGAAGCUGAGGCUCAGAGAGAUGGAGUGAAGAGAUGGAGUGACAGGCUUAAAGUUUCCCAGCUCUCAGGUCAUGGGGUCUGGGCUUGAACCCGAGCCUGACCCAAGUUCUCGCAUCACCUUAAAUUUUCUCCCUUCUUACAUUAGUGUCUUUGGAGAAUGUGUGGCAAAUCUAUCCAAUAAAAAUAUUCCCCGGGCCCUUCCUCUGUGUCUGGCCUGUAUUGGGGACACAGAGGUGACCAAUGACAGUCCCAGCCCUGCCCUCCCAGGGUUCACAAUCCAGUGGGGGAGAUAGACCAAUUUCUAGGCAGGGAUGGCCCAGAGUGGGCAGAGGUGGGACGACGGAGCUUCAAGGGGGUGCUCGCCCCAGACUGGGCAGUCAGGGAGGGCUUCCUGGAGGAGGUUGAGACCUGAAGGACCAGGAUUUGUGAUCCAGGUCAAGAGUGACCAAGGUUGGAAUUCCCAUUGUGACACAAUGGGAUCAGCAGCCUCUUGGGAGUGCUGGAACACAGGUUCGAUCCCGGCCCUGUACAGUGGGUUAAAGGAUCUGGCAUUGCCACAGCUGUGGCUCAGCUCCCAACUAAGCUCGGAUCUGAUCCCUGGUCUGGAACUCCAAAUGCCUCAGGAUGGCCAAAAAAUAAAAAGAGUGACCAAGGCUUUGCAGAGAGAAGCCCACGGCACUAAGAGUGUCCAGAAAGACUCAAAGAGUGUCCAGAAAGACUCAAAGUGAGUGGAGGAAUCCAGACUGAGCAAGAAAGAUAAAUUCCAGCCCCUCCCCUAAGCUGCUCUUGGAUAAUCAUAUACCUCAGGACUGGCCAUGAGGUUUGGUCUCUGGCUGGCGGCUGAUGGAACAGAGGGAAGUCUCUGCUGAGGGCACCUGGCAGACUCUGCCAGGACCAGCCCUGCUCAAGGCUCAGUUCCAGAGCUGGGCUCAUCAGGCUGGCCUGGUGACCCUUGCUUGGGGUCCAAGUCCCCCAUCAGGGAACAGCAAGGCAGACAGAUAUAGGUUCGAAUUUUGGCUUUCUUGCAAACUGGAUGUGGUUUUUUUUUGGGUUUUAGGGCCGCACUUGAGGGUUAUGGAAGUUCCCAGGCUGGGGGUCGAAUCGGAGCUGUUGCUGCUGACCUACACCACAGCUCACAGCAACACCAGAUCCUUAACCCACUGAGUGAGGCCAGGAAUCAAACCUGCAUCCUCAUGGAUACUAGUCAGGUUUGUUACUGCUGGGCCACAACGGGAACUCCCCAUUGUCUCCCAUGUUCCUCUGGAGAAAAAGCCAAGUGCUGCUAAGACCCCAUUCCCUCUCUGAUCACAUCUCCCACCCUCUCCCCCUCCCUCACUCUGCACCAGCUGCACGGGCCGCCUUGCUGCUCUUCAAACAUCUCACGAUCUCCAGCCCCUGGGCCUUUGCACUGACUGUUUUCCUUGUCCGGAAAGCCUUUAGUCUGUCUGCAAGGCUCAUGGAUUUUGUCUGUUUUGUUCACUGCUGUAUAAACAGUGCUAGAACCUUGCUCAAUAAUCAUAAUAACAGACAUUUUACAUUAUAUGAAUAUGAUAAUGAUUAUAGUAAAGAUAAUAAUUACAAGACCCCCCCCGAGGCAUAUUCAAGGGCUCAGCUCCAUCCAUGCGUUCACCUUCAAGAGAUGAAUUGUUGGAGUUCCCUUGUGGUGCAGUGGGUUAAGGAUCUGGUGUUAUCACUCCAGCAUCUUGAGUCACUGCUGUGGCUUGGGUUUGUUCCCUGGCUGGGGAACUUCCACAUACUGCAGCAACCCCCCCCCCAAAAAAAAGAGAGAGAAAUGAACUUUGGGGACAAAGAAUAGUGACUUUAUUUGGAAACAAAAGGCAGCAAACCCAGAAGGUGGACUAGCGUAGAACCAUCAUGCCCAGGGCGGGUGCUGGUUUCUUUUAUUACAGAGUAAAGAGGGGGAGAUGAGGAGGUAAAGGAAAAAAGCUUAAGCUGCUGCAAUUUAUUUCCAGGUUCCAGGCAGACCCCAGAGGGGCUGUGUUGAUUGCUUCCUGCCUGCAGUCCUUCACAGGUGGGCCUGGUUGGGAUGUUUCCUGUGAGCUAAACAAAGGUACUUAACGUCAUGCUCAGGAAUGGGAGGCAGGGCUCCUGGAGAUGGGCCGCUAGGUAUACUUUAAACUGCAGGUGACAUCCCUUUAGUGAUUAACUUGUAGCAAAAGCCAUCGAAUACAAAGGUUAAAGUAAAAGAAGGGGUUCCAACAUGGAGUCAGAUUUGCUCUUCGCUAUUACAACCCCCCUUCCCCUGGCCCCUCCGUUCUCUGGGCCCCAGCAUGCAUUGCAGCCAGCCCUGCGGGGCUGUCCUAGAAGGUGGUUCUCACUGGCUCUUUUCUCAACUGAUGGGUUUUUCUAAAGCUGGACCACCGGGGAGAGGGAAUUCAAGAAAUCCCCUGGGAAAGCCUACCAGGCAAAAAAGCAUAUGUUUUGUGGUUAAGGCCUGUUACAAGCAGUGGAGAUGUUUGAAAAUGUAUGUGUGUGAUGAACAUGGAGCUGGGGGGGGUGGGGGGGAGACAGACUUGAGCUGCAAAUACUCCAACCUUGACGUGACCUGAGCUUAGAGAGAGGAGGCAGGGAGAGUGAAGAUGGGCAAGUUUCCCAGGAAUGCCACCCAGAGGACUGAGGGCCACUUGGAGUAAAUGGCCUCAUUGACUGUCACUGGGUGGGGGGAACAUCUCCCUCCAAGGCACGGGAGGGCAGGAGUCUCUGAUG